rnacentral:piRNA from 1 species
UGCUCAGCAUUCAGGAGUGUGAGC